rnacentral:rRNA from 1 species
UAAUGUAUUUAUUUAGUUAUUUGAGUAGUAUUAGUUAUGAUCUUGAAACUUAAAAAAUUUGGCGGUAUUUUAGUCUAUUCAGAGGAACCUGUGUAGUAAUCGAUAUUCCACGUUGAAUCUUACUUAGAUUUGUUUUAGUUUAUAUAUCGUCGUUAUAAGAAUAUUUUUUAAAAAUUAAUAAUUUUCUAUAAUUUUUAUAAAAAUUUAUAUCAGAUAAAGGUGUAGCUUAUAUUUAAGUUUUAUUAUGGGUUACAAUAAAUUAAUUUAAAUGGAUAUAAAAUUGAAAUAUUUUAUUGAAAGUGGAUUUGAUAGUAAAAUAAUAUAGAUUAAUUAUUUGAUUUUAGCUAUAAAAUAUG